rnacentral:rRNA from 1 species
UCUCGCUCAAGGGGCGGCCGAUGGCAGAUUAGCUAGUUGGUGGGGUAAAGGCCUACCAAGGCGACGAUCUGUAGCUGGUCUGAGAGGACGACCAGCCACACUGGGACUGAGACACGGCCCAGACUCCUACGGGAGGCAGCAGUGGGGAAUUUUGGACAAUGGGCGCAAGCCUGAUCCAGCAAUGCCGCGUGUGUGAAGAAGGCCUUCGGGUUGUAAAGCACUUUUGUCCGGAAAGAAAACCAUCUGGCUAAUAUCCGGGUGGGAUGACGGUACCGGAAGAAUAAGCACCGGCUAACUACGUGCCAGCAGCCGCGGUAAUACGUAGGGUGCAAGCGUUAAUCGGAAUUACUGGGCGUAAAGCGUGCGCAGGCGGUUCGCUAAGACAGAUGUGAAAUCCCCGGGCUUAACCUGGGAACUGCAUUUGUGACUGGCGGGCUAGAGUAUGGCAGAGGGGGGUAGAAUUCCACGUGUAGCAGUGAAAUGCGUAGAGAUGUGGAGGAAUACCGAUGGCGAAGGCAGCCCCCUGGGCCAAUACUGACGCUCA